rnacentral:ncRNA from 1 species
AACUUAUCUAGAGAGGCAGAGGGACUGGCCCUAUGACGCCCGGCAACCAUUAGGCAGACUUGCUUAAAAAGGUGCUAAUUCCUGCAGGGAUUUAUUCCUGGAAGAUAAGAG